rnacentral:rRNA from 1 species
UACGAAGGGGGCUAGCGUUGCUCGGAAUCACUGGGCGUAAAGGGUGCGUAGGCGGGUUUUAAGUCAGGGGUGAAAUCCUGGAGCCCAACUCCAGAACUGCCUUUGAUACUGAAAAUCUUGAGUCCGGGAGAGGUGAGUGGAACUGCGAGUGUAGAGGUGAAAUUCGUAGAUAUUCGCAAGAACACCAGUGGCGAAGGCGGCUCACUGGCCCGGUACGUGACGCUGAGGUGCGAAAGCGUGGG